rnacentral:tRNA from 1 species
GCCGAGGUGGCUUAGCUGGUUAUAGCGCCCGGCUCAUACGGAUAUCCCAGGCAUUUACGCCUGGGUCCUGGGAAACCGGGAGGUCGAGGGUUCGAAUCCCUCCCUCGGCACCA